GGAGCUGUGAUUGGUAUAUUUGGUGUAU
rnacentral:sRNA from 1 species